rnacentral:rRNA from 1 species
AGGAUGAACGCUGGCGGCGUGCCUAAUACAUGCAAGUCGAACGAGAACCCUUGGAUUCGUCUGGGGGGGAGAGUGGCGAACUGGUGAGUAACGCGUGGGUGACCUGCCCCGAAGACGGGGAUAACCGUUGGAAACGACGGCUAAUACCCGAUAUACUCGGUGAUUCGGUUCAUCGAGUAAAGGCUCCGGUGCUUCGGGAUGGGCCUGCGGCCUAUCAGCUAGUUGGUGGGGUAAUGGCCCACCAAGGCGAAGACGGGUAGGGGGCGUGAGAGCGCGGUCCCCCACACUGACACUGAGAUACGGGCCAGACUUCUACGGAAGGCAACAGUCGGGGAUAUUGCACAAUCGGCGAAAGCCGGAUGCAGCGACGCCGCGUGGGCGAUGAAGGCCUUCGGGUUGUAAAGCCCUCUUAUGGGGGAAGAGACAAGGACGGUACCCCAAGAAUAAGCGUCGGCUAACUACGUGCCAGCAGCCGCGGUAAAACGUAGGACGCAAGCGUUAUCCGGAUUUACUGGGCGUAAAGAGCGUUGAGGCGGUUCCGUAAGUUGGGCGUGAAAGCCCCGGGCUUAACCCGGGGAGGUCGUUCAAUACUGCGGGACUUGAGGGCAGCAGAGGGAGGCGGAAUUCCCGGUGUAGCGGUGAAAUGCGUAGAUAUCGGGAGGAACACCAGUGGCGAAGGCGGUCUCCUGGGCUGUUUCUGACGCUGAAGGCGAAAGCUAGGGGAGCGAACGGGAUUAGAAAGCCCGGUAGUCCUAGCCGUAAACGAUGGAUGCUGGGUGUGGGGGGUAUAGAUCCCCUCCGUGCCGAAGCCAACGCGUUAAGCAUCCCGACUGGGGAUUACCGGCGCAAGGCUUAAACUCAAACGAAUUGACUGGGGCUCUGCACAAGCAGCGGAGCGUGUGGUUAAUUCGAUGCUACCCGAAGGACCUUACCUGGGCUUGACCAUGUAGGUAGUAGUGUAGUCGAUAAGCGGAUCGACCCUUCGGGGGAGCCUACACAAGGUGCUGCAUGGCUGUCGUCAGUUCGUGCCGUGAGCUGUUCGGGUUAAGUCCCGUAACGGACGCAACCAUUGCCCUUAGUUACAUGUGUCUUAAGGGGACUUGCCCGGGACUACUGGGAGGAAGCUGGGGAUGACGUCAAGUCAGCAUGGCCUUUAUGUCCAGGGCUACACACACGUUACAAUGGCCGGUACAAUGGGUCGCCAAGCCGUGAGGCGGAGCCAAUCCCCCAAAGCCGGUCUAAGUUCGGAUUGUGGGCUGCAACUCGCCCAUAUGAAGCUGGAGUUGCUAGUAACCGCGCGUCAGCAAUAGUGCGGUGAAUACGUUCCCGGGCAUUUGUACACACCGCCCGUCACGUCAUGGAAGCUGGCAACACCUGAAGCCAGUGAGCUAACCC